UCUGUGCUGGAGGAAAUGUCUGCUGUGACUCUGCUCAGCUUUGUUGUUCUUCAGCCUCUGCAUGUUUACCUCUGGAGGUGAGUUUUACCUGUCAGGAGAUUAAUGACAUUUCAAUGAUAGAUAAAGACAAAGAAAUAGAGUAGGAUUAUUUCAUAUUCAUUCCGUUUGUCUGUGUGCGUGCAGGCAACAUGAGGCUGAAGUGAUAUUAUUGAAAAUUCUCUGUGUGUAAGUACAGUUUAGUGCUGUCUGAUCAUCACUCUGAUUGGCUGCUGUAGAAGUGAACAGUGUUACUUUGACCUUUAACCUCUCUGCGCUCUGUUGUUUCCUCUUUCAGAUCACAAAAGCAUCAUAGCUGAGUCUGGACAGGACGCCACUCUAAUAUGUCGAGCUCAAACCCACAUCAUCAUAGUUGUAGAGUGGAGCAGAACUGACCUGAAGAACUUGUCCUUUUAUAUCAGCAUGGACGACUUGUUCCAGAUUACCAGCAUCCAUCUUUUGAGAACCGGGUGGAUCUGACGGACAGACAGAUCACUGAUGGAGACGUGUCUUUGAUUCUGAAGAAUGUGAGACAAGAUGAUGCUGGAACAUACGAGUGCCGUGUCAUUGAGAGAGCUGGAAAACCUUUGAAGCUCAUCAGCAUCAUCAACCUGAAAGUUGGUUCUCCAACAUGCCAUAGUUUAUUCAACACAGUGGAUGGUGCAGCAGAGAUACCUGACUCAAAACAGGACACUCUUUCAGGGCCAGUGAGUGUCACCUCUCCUCCAGCUACAGAUCCUUGUCUCUGUGUCGCUCUGUGUACCUGGCCUGUACCACCACAGUCGCUGUCUUCACAGUUUCUGC